rnacentral:lncRNA from 1 species
GGGCAGGAGAGCCAGGAAGAGCUGAACUAUGAGGAUUGCUCUCUGGGCAGCUGAGUGGAGGAGGAGGAGAUCCCCAGGACGCCCGGAGGCUUGGGCUCCAAAGCAUUCAGGAGGAUUCUGUCGAACACCAGAAGAUUCCACAGACUGCACAUGGAUUCCACAGAACACAUGGACGCUCCACUCCUGCAGAACUCGGGAGGAUUCCAUGCAUAUAGAAGUCGCAUGUAAACAGGAGGGAAGGCGUGUUGACCGUCCCACCUCCCUGCUCCCGCUGCAGAGCGGUCUCGGCUUUGGCCCGCAGCCUCGGCCCUGGCUGGCUUCUCUAGCUGAGAUCUCACACCCUUUCCUGCUAUUGGUGCUGAAGAUUCCCCCCACCUCAUCCUGUGGAGCCGCUCAUCAACUCCUGCAGCUUCCUCCUCCUCCCCUUCCCUCCUCCCCUUCCCCAAAUCAUUCUUAUGCUCUGUCUGUGGUCCCAUUUCCAUGGCAACCCAUUGUGAUGUCAGAGGAGAGCGGGUAG